AUUGAACGCUGGCGGCAGGCUUAACACAUGCAAGUCGAGCGAGCGGCGGACGGGUGAGUAAUGUCUGGGAAACUGCCUGAUGGAGGGGUAUUACUACUGGAAACGGUAGCUCAUACCGCAUACCACCAUAUGUGCUCAGAUGGGAGUAGCUAGUAGGUGGGGUAAUGGUUCAUCUAGGCGACGAUCCCUAGCUGGUCUGAGAGGAUGACCGGCCACACUUGAACUGAGACGCGGUCCAGACUCCUACGUGAGGCAGCAGUGGGGAAUAUUCCACAAUGGGCGAAAGCCUGAGGCAGCCAUGCCGCGUGUGUGAAGAAGGCCUUCGGGUUGUAAAGCACUUUCGGCGGGGAGGCGUUACUCGCAGAAGAAGCACCGGCUAACUCCGUGCCAGCAGCCGCGGUAAUAC
rnacentral:rRNA from 1 species